GCUUUUGUUUUGGUGGAUUAGUGGCGAACGGGUGAGUAAUACGUGAGUAACCUGCCCUUGUCUUUGGGAUAAGCCUGGGAAACUGGGUCUAAUACCGGAUAUUCUGCUUCUGCCGCAUGGUGGGGGUUGGAAAGAUUUUUUGGAUGGGGAUGGGCUCACCGCCUAUCAGCUUGUUGGUGGGGUGAUGGCCUACCAAGGCGUCUACGGGUAGCCGGCCUGAGAGGGUGACCGGCCACAUUGGGACUGAGAUACGGCCCAGACUCCUCCCGGAGGCAACACUGGGGAAUAUUGCACAAUGGACGCAAGUCUGAUGCAACGACGCCGCGUGGGGGAUGAAGGCUUUGGGGUUGUAAACUCCUUUCAUUACAGAACUAGGCCUUUGUGGUUGAGGGUAUCUGCCAAAAAAGCGCCGGCUAACUACGUGCCAGCAGCCGCGGUAAUACGUACGGCGCGAGCGUUGUCCGGAAUUAUUGGGCGUAAAGAGCUCGUAGGCGGUUUGUUGCGCCUGCUGUGAAAACCGGGGCUUAACUUCGGGGUUGCAUUGGGUCCCGGCAGACUAGACUGUGGUAGGGGUAAUUUAAAUUCUGGUUUUGCUGCGAAUGCCCAAAAACCCAGGCGAACCACCGUCGCCAAGGGC
rnacentral:rRNA from 1 species